rnacentral:lncRNA from 1 species
UACAAGUCACCACCACCUCCACACUAUCACCAUAAGUCUCCACCUCCAUACCACUACAAGUCACCACCUCCACCAUCCCCUUCACCUCCUCCUCCUUAUGUCUACAAGUCUCCACACCUCCGUCACGUCACCUCUCUCAUACGUCUAUAAUCUCAACACACAUCUCAUCCCACUCUCCUUAUGUGUACAAUCUCACCACACAUCUCAUNNNNNNNNNNNNNNNNNNNNNNNNNNNNNNNNNNNNNNNNNNNNNNNNNNNNNNNNNNNNNNNNNNNNNNNNNNNNNNNNNNNNNNNNNNNNNNNNNNNNGUUGACAACAAGUGUGCUGGUGAAUAAUAAGGGUCUAGCAGAACCCUUCUUGUAAUCUGUUGUAAGCACUUAUUGUAUUACUUCUUUAAAGAGAUUAAUUGAAUCAAAUGAAAGUGAAGAACAUUAAUUUCAUGUACUUGUUAAUCUAGUAUAUGCCCCUAUGACUUUUGGGUUAAUUAGUUCUGUGCUUCUUUGUUGAAAAGUUAAUGCAUGAUAAUGCAUAUCACUUUAUCAUCGUUAUUAAAUAGUAAACAUGCAUGCAUUUUAUAAUAAAUUUGGUACCUGGAUGUUUCAAGUUGUAACCAAAGCUCAAUUGGCCAGAUACGAAAUCAAAUUUAAGAAUUGUUUAAUCUGAUAGUUGACGUGACUUACUGUUUAUGUUCAUAUGUUUGGGAAACAUUACUGCAAUUGAGUGGACAGAGAUAUGUUUAUGUCCAUUGGGCCUACUCUCGGAACUUAGCUGGCAUGAACAAAUUAAUAGUUGACUACUGGGCACUUAAACAUACCCAAAUUUUUUUAGAGGCUAUUGAUUUUGAGUAGGAAUCCCCGUUGGGUCCGGUCCCAGGCUUAAUCGGGAAGAUUUCGGGGUAAAAUUAGAGGCUGGUAUGUGAAUCUCUAAAUUUUUAAAAUUCCCUGUCAAGGAUGGUAUUGUCACUACAAAAAAAAAGUGGUAACAGUCACCAUUAUUUAGUGACAUUUGCUGGGGCGAUUAAAGGUUUUAGUCACUAAAAAAGUCUUUUUUGGUGACUUCAAAAAUGCCUUUUGUGACUAAAGCCUUUAGUCACCCCAACAAAUAUCACCAAAUAAUGGUCACUAUUGCCACUUUUGUUUUUUUGAGGUGUUAUCCCCUUCUCCAAACCCGGUCUAAUAAGGGAAAUAUUUAUUUGGGUAAAAAAACACUUUUGGCCACUAGGGUUAGAGUUGAAAACGAUUUUGGACAUGGAUCCGUUGUCCCUAUUUUUCAUGUCCCUCCAUGUCCCUUUUCUAAUUUCUUGACAAGUGUCCACCUACUUAACCCCAAACUAAUACUGUUAAUUUGUAAUAAAAUAUUUAAAAAACAUAAAAACUAAAAUCGAAAAACAAAAACCAAGCAGACACCACAACCCCGCCCCACCUCAGCAGCCCCCUGAGCCUCUCCCAUCUUCACCAUCGGCGAAGCAUCCCCUCUUAUUUGUCUCUCUUUCCUUCUUCUAUCUCACUGCCUCUCCUGAAUUUGUUCCUCUUUCCCUCCUCUUUCGUGGUGUGGGUGUGACGAGGAAUAGUGUUUCUAAGCAAUAAUAGUCAUAAUCUCAAAGUUUAAGUCAUAGUGUUUCUAAGCAAUAAUAGUCUUCAGUCACCAUUGAAUUCUACGAGGGUUUAGAUCAAAUCGGCAUCAACAAAAAUUAACAAAUAAUAUUUCAAGGGUUGUGUGACUUGCAACACUUCGUAGAAAAGAUUGGGACAAAAUUCAAAGGAGAGAUAUAUAUAUAUAUAUAUAUAGAGAGAGAGAGCUUCCAUUGAGGGAUCCCUCAAAUAACUUAUUUGAGGAAUACCCCUUGUAGGCCCCACUUCGAAUUGUAUCUCAUUCAUCCAAACAGUCUAUUUUGUAGAUACUCAUUCAAAGAUCAUCUCUACAAAAAAUCACUUGAAUCCGAUAUCAGUUGACCACUCAAUUGAGUUAUUGAAAUUUUAGUACUUUUUUGAAGCACCGUGUUCAUUGAUUUUGUAAGACACAAUUGGAUGUCGAAACGGUUUCCGAUUUGUCUAAUUUUUUGUAAGGAUAAUCUAUGAAUGAAGACCUAAAAAAUAGAUGAUUUGGAUCAUUGGAAAAAAAAAUUGUAAGGUACCCUAAAGGGCGUUCCUCAAAUAAUUUGAGGGAUCCCUCAAUAGAAGGGGAUAUAUAUAUAUUUAUAUAUUAGGAGUCUAAACCAGCGGUUUUAGUAUUUCCUCUUCAGCAAUUGGUGGGCUAUGCUUGUGUACUAGUUCUCCAAUAUCGAAUGUGUGAGGUUGAUUAUGGUAUAGGGCAGAAACAAACAUACCUUACAAGUGAAAUCACAUAGUACUAAACUGGAAUUGAAGUUCUUUUCUCUUUUUCCCCCCCUUUGGGAAGGAUAAUCUCUUUAAAUUGUACGCAGAUGUGUACAAAAUGAGUGGUUUUUGUAUUGUCUAAAACUGAGAAGGGAAAUAUUUUUGCCUAUCUUUUUGGCUCCUUUUUGUGUUUUCUUAUUUGUCGAGGAUAAUAGAAGGGUUGGUUAGAUGAGCAUCGAUCCACGACAAUGUCAACUUAGGCGGUGACCUCUUAGUUGGAAUCGAGAGUCCCUUUUUUGUUUUGGUUAGAAUGAAAACAAAGUCUGCAGUCGAUAUAUACCUUUAACUAAGUUUCCCUUGUUUUUCUUUCUUUGCAUUUGUUUUUCUUCCUUACCGACUAAUACGUACAAACAUGCAUAAGACUUUCAAUCUAAAUUUCAAACUUUUCUAGAAGUAGAGAGAGAGAGAUAGUAUAUAUAUAUAUAUUGAGCCAUCACUUGCCAAGUCUAAUGACACACAAGUAGGACACACACAUUAAAUGCAAGCUUGACCUUAAAUUUUUCUUCCCUCUUACACACAAGGGCCGAUUGAGUGAAAAUAAAAAUAAAAAAUUGAUUUAGAGAGACCAAAAUAUUAAAGAAAAUUUGAUAUUUCUCAAAAUUUUCAAUGUCUAAUAUAUUUUUUUAUUAAAUAUAUGUAAUAUAGUUUAUGUAAUUAACUUACUAUAAAUUUAUAUAAACAAAAACCAUAAUUUGCAGGGUAGUACAAAUAUCCACAAAUAAUUAAUACAAAGAUAGAAGCAUAGUAAGCACGUAAGGUUAAUCCAGAUACAUAGAAAGACACAGUACCGAGAACAUCAAGCGCACAAGGUGUAUCUCCACUAAUUAAUAGCCACAUAAUGCCAAAGAAAUUUUUGCAUAAAAGCUACAAGACUGCAUAAGACAGACAUGAACCGCAGUGCGUAAAACUACCAACACAACUGCAACUUUUAAACUCUCGCAAGUAGAACUUAUAAGUAAGUACCUAGACUACAAACAAACACCCAACUUACAAGAAUUGAUGAAAUUAUUACAACUCAAGAAUAUAUAAACACACAACAAGUGAGUAAAAGUUGCUAAGCCACUAAGCCACCUUGUAUGUCUCUAAAUUUGGCAACGAAACCACCAGUGCAUUGCUACUUCAUCGUCACCAAAGAUUCCAAUGAAAGCCAAAUCACAAGGCUGGGUUUUUUUUUUUUUUUGGAGAAAAACUUAGGUUGGUUUUAUUACUAGAGAAUUCGAAUGGCACAAUUGCUUUUCAGGUUCUCCAUCUUAAUUUGUAAUAGAAGUAACACAUUUAAAAGAUUUAUUUUUCUAGCUCUCAUAAAUAUGGAUGAGGUGAAACCAGCCAAAAGUUCCUCAGUCACACGCUAAACUGAAUAUCUUUAAACCUUAUUACUCUAGGUUGGUAAAAGAAUUUUCUCUUUUUAAUUCUUUGGUGCAACUCGAUCUCUUCUUUAUAGUUUUUUGAGAGUCGAUCACUUUUGACAAAGUGCCAAGUUGCCAACUAUGCUCCUAUUUACAUUACAUUGAAUAAAGAAAAAGAUAAUAUAGUGAGGAUAGAAUAGUUAUUAUCAGUUAUUCUAAAAUAAAAUAAAAUAAAACAAACUAAAAUUAUCCAUAUGUUUCUCCCACAAUUUUUUGUCACUAUUUCUUAUUAUCUACUUCUCGAGCAAUAAUUGUCUCACAUACAAAGCAUUCUAGUAAUAGUAAUAUAAGGACUAAUGAACUAAUGCAAAAACAUUAAGGGCCCUUAAUUGAGUUCGGCAAUUCAAAUCCAAAAAUUCAAUUGGCAAAGUACAAUGUGUGUUUAUUUAUUUGGGUUAAAUAUUUUUUUGGUCACUAGAAAAAAAUUCAGCCAAAUUGGUCACUGUGUUUUCCGAAGUAUACAAUUUAUUGACAUUCUGUUAUCUUUCAUUAAUUGCAGUUUUUUUUAAAAAAAAAAAAAUAGGAAUCACCUUCUGUCUUCUUCCUUUAACUCAACAAGUUAUGGUAUAUUGUGCUAUUAGAGUUCAGCAAAUUGGGGGAAAUCUUGGGUUGAAAUCGAAAUCGUGAGGCAUGAGGAAAAUCAAAAGGCCAAACCAAAUUAAAAUGAAAUCAACAACUUACUAAUAUAUUUUGGUGCUCUAUCACAUUGAUUGUGUCUCCUUGUCAUCCGAAGUCACAAUACAAUUCUCACUCAAUCGAUUCAGGCUUCAAUAUAAUACCCAAUUAUUCGUGACCUUAUACCUCAUCAUUUCGAUUUCAACCCAAAAUUUCCCCCCAUCUUUAAAACUCUUAUAGCACAAUAACCUAACUUGUUGAGUUAGCGAGUUAGAGGAAGAAGACUUGAACGUGCUUCUUGGAAAUAUAAAAAUAAAAACUGCACUUAAUGGAAGUUAACGGUAGAUAACAAAAUGUCUAAAUUGUAAACUUAUGGAAAUAUUGUGAUCAAUCUGACUAAAUUUUUUUCUGAAUGACUAAAUUGAAUUUCCGUGUAAUGACCAAAAAGAUAUUUAAUCCUAUUUAUUUUUAUGAAGCAAAACUCUAAUGUUAAUGGAUGAAAGCUUUACACCUUUUAAUUAGCUAAGCACUUUUGAUAAUCCAGUAAAGUAUUUUUCAUAAUGGGUCAAAGUGUUCAGUUAUAUGCAAGCUAGCGUUCGAACUUUACCUUUUUUUACCAUAUAUAUUUAUUAUUACUUCACUAGUUGCUGGAGAACAGACCAACCCUUUUCAUUUUCACUCUCCAGCCGUACAACACUUACCUACCACACGGUUUGACUUGUCCAUGGCCUUCAUGAAAGAUCAAAGUUGAAAAAUCUUUGUGGGAACCCAAAUUCACUGGUUGAAGCAUGCGAGUUCAACUGAUUGGCAUUUCAAAAUCUCAAAGUCACAUUUGGUAGAAAACUUAAAGCAUCAAUCCAGCCAAUUAUGCUGAAUAAGCAAACAUGUCUUAUUCAAAGAUGAUGUCAAAGAUUGCUAUAAAAGGGAUAGCUUUCUCACCAUUUCCAACCACCUCACUCACAAAACAAGUUCUAAGAACUACAAUUUGUGGCAGAAAUGAGAACCUCAGGACAGCUGAGGCAUUGCCCUACAAUGUUUUAUGCCUUGGCAUUGUGCCUCUUGGCCACAAGUGUGCUUGCCACUACGCCUUAUACUUAUUCUUCACCACCUCCACCAAAGCACUUGGAGACCCCUCCAACCCAUUACAAGUCCCCCCCACCACCGAAGUAUGUAAAACAUCCACCACCUCCAUCACCAUCACCCCCGCCACCCUAUUAUAAGUCUCCACCACCGCCUUCUCAUUCGCCGCCUCCUCCUUAUGUGCACAAAUCUCCUCCACCACCCACUCACUCACCACCUCCACCAUAUGCUUACAAGUCACCACCUCCCCCUUCUAAAUCACCACCUCCUCCUUAUGUCCACAAAUCUCCUCCUUAUGUCCACAAGUCACCACCUCCACCAUCAUAUUCUCCUCCACCUCCUUACCACUACAAGUCACCACCACCACCAUCUCCAUCACCUCCCCCUCCAUACCACUACAACUCUCCUCCUCCUCCAGUGAAGUCACCUCCACCUCCCCAAUAUCACUACAAAUCACCUCCACCUCCAAAACACUACUAAGCUUUAUGGGAUUUUAGCGACUUGAACCAGUCCAAAUAAGGUCUUCGUUUCGAUGUUCCAGCGGUAUCACUUCUUUUUCUAGCUUUGUUCUAUUCGCAGACAAGUGUGUUUGUGAAUAAUAAAGGUC